CCAGACUCCUACGGGAGGCAGCAGUGGGGGAUAUUGCACAAUGGGGGAAACCCUGAUGCAGCGACGCCGCGUGGGCGAAGAAGUAUUUCGGUAUGUAAAGCCCUAUCAGCAGGGAAGAAGAAAUGACGGUACCUGAGUAAGAAGCACCGGCUAAAUACGUGCCAGCAGCCGCGGUAAUACGUAGGUGGCAAGCGUUGUCCGGAUUUACUGGGUGUAAAGGGCGUGUAGCCGGGAAGGCAAGUCAGAUGUGAAAUCUGGAGGCUCAACCUCCAAAUUGCAUUUGAAACUGUUUUUCUUGAGUACUGGAGAGGCAGACGGAAUUCCUUGUGCAGCGGUGAAAUGCGUAGAUAUAAGGAGGAACACCAGUGGCGAAGGCGGUCUGCUGGACAGCAACUGACGGUGAGGCGCGAAAGCGUGGGGAGCAAACAGGAUUAGAUACCCGCGUAU
rnacentral:rRNA from 1 species